rnacentral:lncRNA from 1 species
UCCUGUAGAGGAUGGUUUCACUGAAGGAGACUGGCUGGAAGGGCAUUAAUGUUCUGAUGCAGUGCAGAGACACCCCGGGUAACAUCUGAGACAGUACCAGGGACGGAAGUGAAAUAGGCAUGGAAGUGGGCUCUGCACCUGAGUACCAAGCUCUGCCUGAGGAGGUUUAUUUGCUGAAGAGAAGUGCUGCACUAACACUUUUGGACCAAGAUACUCCCUUGCAAAUCUCCAUGUUUUCUUCUAUGCUCCAAUUGCUGCAAUGUGAGGAAUGUCUCAGACUUUCUAUUUGCAGACAGUUUUCAUGGUGA